CCUACGGGGGGCUGCAGUAGGGAAUCUUCCGCAAUGGACGAAAGUCUGACGGAGCAACGCCGCGUGAGCGAAGAAGGUCUUCGGAUCGUAAAGCUCUGUUGUUAGGGAAGAACAAGUACGGGAGGAAAUGACCGUACCUUGACGGUACCUAACGAGGAAGCCACGGCUAACUACGUGCCAGCAGCCGCGGUAAUACGUAGGUGGCAAGGGUUGUCCGGAAUUAUUGGGCGUAAAGCGCGCGCAGGCGGUCUUUUAAGUCUGAUGUGAAAUCUUGCGGCUCAACCGCAAGCGGUCAAUGGAAACCGGGGGGCUUGGGUGCCGAAGGAGAAAGCGGAAUUCCACGUUGAGCGGUGAAAUGCCUAGAGAUGUUGGAGGACCCCAGUGGCGAAGGCGGCUUUCUUGGCUGUAACUGACGCCUAGGCGCGAAAGCGUGGGGAGCAAACAGGAUUAGAUACCCGAGUAGUC
rnacentral:rRNA from 1 species